GACGAACGCUGGCGGCGUGCUUAACACAUGCAAGUCGAACGAAGAGCGAUGGAAGCUUGCUUCUAUCAAUCUUAGUGGCGAACGGGUGAGUAACGCGUAAUCAACCUGCCCUUCAGAGGGGGACAACAGUUGGAAACGACUGCUAAUACCGCAUACGAUCUAAUCUCGGCAUCGAGGAAAGAUGAAAGGUGGCCUCUAUUUAUAAGCUAUCACUGAAGGAGGGGAUUGCGUCUGAUUAGCUAGUUGGAGGGGUAACGGCCCACCAAGGCGAUGAUCAGUAGCCGGUCUGAGAGGAUGAACGGCCACAUUGGGACUGAGACACGGCCCAGACUCCUACGGGAGGCAGCAGUGGGGAAUCUUCCGCAAUGGACGAAAGUCUGACGGAGCAACGCCGCGUGAGUGAUGACGGCCUUCGGGUUGUAAAGCUCUGUUAAUCGGGACGAAAGGCCUUCUUGCAAACAGUUAGAAGGAUUGACGGUACCGGAAUAGAAAGCCACGGCUAACUACGUG
rnacentral:rRNA from 1 species